GCCCCAGCCCUGGCAGCGCAGCACUUACCUAGUCUGCCCAGGGGCCUCCACACUGGUUUCCUCAGACAUGCUGCGGGGCCUUGUUUUUCCAGCUGAAGGAUCAGGAGGAAUUUGGCUUUGCACUUUUCUCUCUGUCUCUCCCUAGCUCUGAUCCUGCUGCCCAUCCCCACAGGAUCUGAGUGCCUCCCCCGUGAAUUAGACUGGCCUAGGGAGGUUUCUGGCAGACUUCAUUUCUACAUCCCCUGGGUUGGAGACGUCGUGGGACGUAUCUUAAUCUGGCUGGACAACGUCUGUCAUCCCAGAGCCAGAAAAGCAGCACUGAGGGCCACGGCCUUGCUGGCUCGUUCCCACCCCCAGGACGUGGUUCUGAGCUGUGUGGCACACACGCUGUCCUCGGACAGAUGUGCCAUUGAGCUGUGGAAGGCCCUGGGAAGA